UAGGGAAUCUUCCACAAUGGACGCCAGUCUGAUGGAGCAACGCCGCGUGAGUGAAGAAGGUUUUCGGAUCGUAAAGCUCUGUUGUUGGUGAAGAAGGAUAGAGGUAGUAACUGGCCUUUAUUUUACGGUAAUCAACCAGAAAGUCACGGCUAACUACGUGCCAGCAGCCGCGGUAAUACGUAGGUGGCAAGCGUUGUCCGGAUUUAUUGGGCGUAAAGCGAGCGCAGGCGGAAGAAUAAGUCUGAUGUGAAAGCCCUCGGCUUAACCGAGGAACUGCAUCGGAAACUGUUUUUCUUGAGUGCAGAAGAGGAGAGUGGAACUCCAUGUGUAGCGGUGGAAUGCGUAGAUAUAUGGAAGAACACCAGUGGCGAAGGGGACUCUCUGGUCUGCAACUGACGCUGAGGCUCGAAAGCAUGGGUAGCGAACAGG
rnacentral:rRNA from 1 species